GACGAACGCUGGCAGCGUGCUUAACACAUGCAAGUCGAACGGUAAGGCCUUUCGGGGUACACGAGUGGCGAACGGGUGAGUAACACGUGGGUGAUCUGCCCUGCACUUCGGGAUAAGCCCGGGAAACUGGGUCUAAUACCGGAUAGGACUGCGCGGUGCAUGCCGUGUGGUGGAAAGAUUUAUCGGUGCAGGAUGGGCCCGCGGCCUAUCAGCUUGUUGGUGGGGUAAUGGCCUACCAAGGCGACGACGGGUAGCCGGCCUGAGAGGGCGACCGGCCACACUGGGACUGAGACACGGCCCAGACUCCUACGGGAGGCAGCAGUGGGGAAUAUUGCACAAUGGGCGCAAGCCUGAUGCAGCGACGCCGCGUGAGGGAUGACGGCCUUCGGGUUGUAAACCUCUUUCAGCAGGGACGAAGCGUGAGUGACGGUACCUGCAGAAGAAGCACCGGCCAACUACGUG
rnacentral:rRNA from 1 species